CACAUGACUCUCGGCAACGGAUAUCUUGGCUCUCACAUCGAUGAAGAACGUAGCAAAAUGCGAUACCUGGUGUGAAUUGCAGAAUCCCGUGAACCAUCGAGUUUUUGAACGCAAGUUGCGCCCGAGGCCUUUUGGUUGAGGGCACGUCUGCCUGGGCGUCACGC
rnacentral:rRNA from 1 species